CUGAGAGAUCUUCUGGAGAGUCCAGACUGCAGACUGGAGACCCUCAGGAUCAGAUAUGAUGAGACGAUCAGAGCCAAGAUCCAGAAGAACUGAACUCCCAUCCCCCGAGUCCUGCGGCAGGAAGCGCUCCUUCUCUCCAAGAACUCCU